rnacentral:rRNA from 1 species
CCUACGGGUGGCAGCAGUGGGGAAUAUUGGACAAUGGGGGAAACCCUGAUCCAGCGACGCCGCGUGAGUGAAGAAGUAUUUCGGUACGUAAAGCUCUAUCAGCAGGAAAGAAAAUGACGGUACCUGACUAAGAAGCACCGGCUAACUACGUGCCAGCAGCCGCGGGAAUACGUAGGGGGCAAGCGUUAUCCGGAUUUUCUGGGUGCAAAGGGAGCGUAGACGGCAGCGCAAGUAUGGAGUGAAAAGCCGGGGGCCAACCCCGGAACUGCUCUGGAAAGUGUGACGCUGGAGUGCAGGAGAGGUGAGCGGAAUUCCAGGUGUAGCGGUGAAAUGCGUAGAUAUCAGGAGGAACACCGGCGGCGAAGGCGGCUUACUGGACUGUAACUGACGUUGAGGCUCGAAGGCGUGGGGAGCAAACAGGAUUAGAUACCCCAGUAGUC